rnacentral:rRNA from 1 species
ACUUGGUGUUACUGCGAAGGGGGGACGGAGAAGGCUAUGUUGGCCGGGCGACGGUUGUCCCGGUUUAAGCGUGUAGGCUGGUUUUCCAGGCAAAUCCGGAAAAUCAAGGCUGAGGCGUGAUGACGAGGCACUACGGUGCUGAAGCAACAAAUGCCCUGCUUCCAGGAAAAGCCUCUAAGCAUCAGGUAACAUCAAAUCGUACCCCAAACCGACACAGGUGGUCAGGUAGAGAAUACCAAGGCGCUUGAGAGAACUCGGGUGAAGGAACUAGGCAAAAUGGUGCCGUAACUUCGGGAGAAGGCACGCUGAUAUGUAGGUGAAGUCCCUCGCGGAUGGAGCUGAAAUCAGUCGAAGAUACCAGCUGGCUGCAACUGUUUAUUAAAAACACAGCACUGUGCAAACACGAAAGUGGACGUAUACGGUGUGACGCCUGCCCGGUGCCGGA